AACGCACACACUCGCUUUUUUCUUUUAAACCAAAGAAAGUUUAUGACCAUAAAAAUGAGUGAGGUUGCUGGACCAAGUAAGAAGCCAAACCGUAUCACUUUCAU